rnacentral:rRNA from 1 species
UACAGAGGGGGCAAGCGUUAUUCGGAAUUAUUGGGCGUAAAGGGCGCGUAGGCGGCCUUGCAAGUGACGGGUGAAAUCCCUCGGCUUAACCGAGGAACUGCCUGUCAGACUGCUUGGCUUGAGACCGGGAGAGGUGAGUGGAAUUCCCAGUGUAGCGGUGAAAUGCGUAGAUAUUGGGAGGAACACCAGUGGCGAAGGCGGCUCACUGGACCGGUACUGACGCUGAGGCGCGAAAGCGUGGGGAGCAAACAGGAUUAGAAACCCCCGUAGUCC